CAGGGCCUUGUAAUAUCUGUUCUCAAAGUCCUGAUGGGAGGUUCAGCUGUUGCCCCAGCUAUGAUUGGUAAAGGGAUAAUUUCUGCUUCAGGAGCUGGAGCUAACACUGACCUCAAUAUGACCAUGAAAGACACAAGAGGUCUCCUCCAAAGGCCCAUAAACAGAGCUAAGGGUUCUACAAGCAGCUUUCACUGGAGCUACAGGGGUUCUACUUGUCCAGGUUCCUGUCCCACUGCUGGCCUCCUGGACCUCCAGCCUCAGCUCAGCCUGGGCAGUCCUGCUGCUCCUCUCCCAAAGAGAAGAUGGAGACUGAGACCAACAGCUAGGUCCCUCCUGGCCCUGUGCUGUGUGUGUGGCUCCCACUAACCACCUUGUGUGCUUCCCUGCCUUGAGCCCUGGAGAUACAAAUAUAUGUAGCUAAUCACCUCUUUUCAGUCACUCAUUCAUUUAACAAAUUAUACAUUUGAUACAUACAUAUGAAGCAUUUGUUCAUCAUGUUAGGUCUUCCACCAUGGCAGGACAUGGGGAAUGUUGUAAACAUGACUUUGUCCUAGACCUCUAGGACCUUUCAGGCUCCCAAGAGCUUCAGCAGAUGUAUUCGCCGGGUUUUCCUCAUAGGCUAUUUAUGCAGAAAAGAGAGGUUUAUGCCUCUCAGUUUGGGGAGUUCAAAGCUAUGGCACCUCCAUUGGCUAAUAUAGUGUAAAAACUACAAUGAAAGCAUGGGUUGCAGUUAAGGACAAGGGGAGGGCUGGGAAGGAAAAUAAAGCACGUUAUUACAUGCAUGAAUACAAGGAAAAAAACUCAAUAUUCCCUAUCAUGAAUAUGCACUAAUAAAUUUGUUGGCAGAGUUUCAGAUUCCAUGCUGCAAAUAUAAAGAAAUGAACCCUGGAAUCUGUGCGUUGAGCUUCUCAGUAAAGAUGAGGGGCCGUUUGGGCAGUGGGAUCGAACUCAGCAGGCAGCCACUGAGCUAAAACCCCAGCCCUCUUUUUUUAUCUUUGCUGUUAGAGAUUUCUGGAUCUGCUAAGACCUUGCAUAAAAAAAAUAGUUAUACAGAUAUCCAAGGAUUACCAAACUCCCUUAAAAAGAGGACAAAAACUACUAGGCUGAAGACUUAUGUGAAACUUGCAAAUAAGAAUCUUAAAUUUCAGUAACAUAAAGAUUUUGUAAUUUAGGUUAAUAUGUAUGUUUCUGUGCAUUCAUUGUCAGGUAUAUUUUAUCCUUCAAAAGUUUAAGUUGGCUUAUAAACAAAUGAUGUAUAUUAACCCAAAUACUUUGUUCCCAUGACUUAAAGUGAGCUGGUUCAAAUUGGUUGGUAAGAU
rnacentral:lncRNA from 1 species